GAUGAACGCUGGCGGCGUGCCUAACACAUGCAAGUCGAGCGAACGGACGAGACGCUUGCUUGUCUGAUGUUAGCGGCGGACGGGUGUGUAACACGUGUAUAACCUACCUAUCAGACUGGGAUAACUUCGGGAAACCGGAGCUAAUACCGGAGAAUCUUUUGAACCGCAUGGGUCAAAGGUGAAAGACGGUCUUGCUGUCACUUAUAGAUGGAUCCGCGCUGCAUUAGCUAGUUGGUAAGGUAACGGCUUACCAAGGCAACGAUGCAUAGCCGACCUGAGAGGGUGAUCGGCCACACUGGAACUGAGACACGGUCCAGACUCCUACGGGAGGCAGCAGUAGGGAAUCUUCCGCAAUGGGCGAAAGCCUGACGGAGCAACGCCGCGUGAGUGAUGAAGGUCUUCGGAUCGUAAAACUCUGUUAUUAGGGAAGAACAUAUGUGUAAGUAACUGUGCACAUCUUGACGGUACCUAAUCAGAAAGCCACGGCUAACUACGUG
rnacentral:rRNA from 1 species